rnacentral:rRNA from 1 species
UCUACGGGUGGCAGCAGUGGGGAAUAUUGGACAAUGGGCGAAAGCCUGAUCCAGCCAUGCCGCGUGCGUGAAGAAGGCCUUCGGGUUGUAAAGCACUUUCAGUGGGGAAGAAAGCCUUGGGGCUAAUACCCUCGAGGAAGGACAUCACCCACAGAAGAAGCACCGGCUAACUCCGUGCCAGCAGCCGCGGUAAUACGGAGGGUGCGAGCGUUAAUCGGAAUUACUGGGCGUAAAGCGCGCGUAGGCGGUCUGAUAAGCCGGUUGUGAAAGCCCCGGGCUCAACCUGGGAACGGCAUCCGGAACUGUCAGGCUAGAGUGCAGGAGAGGAAGGUAGAAUUCCCGGUGUAGCGGUGAAAUGCGUAGAGAUCGGGAGGAAUACCAGUGGCGAAGGCGGCCUUCUGGACUGACACUGACGCUGAGGUGCGAAAGCGUGGGUAGCAAACAGGAUUAGAUACCCCGGUAGUC